rnacentral:rRNA from 1 species
GAUGAACGCUGGCGGCGUGCCUAAUACAUGCAAGUCGAGCGAACAGAUGAUGAGCUUGCUCCUCUGACGUUAGCGGCGGACGGGUGAGUAACACGUGGAUAACCUACCUAUAAUACUGGGAUAACUUCGGGAAACCGGAUCUAAUACCGGAUAAUAUAUUGAACCGCAUGGUUCAAUAGUGAAUGACGGUUUUGCUGUCACUUAUAGAUGGAUUCGCGCCGCAUUAGCUAGUUGGUAAGGUAACGGCUUACCAAGGCAACGAUGCGUAGCCGACCUGAGAGGGUGAUCGGCCACACUGGAACUGAGACACGGUCCAGACUCCUACGGGAGGCAGCAGUAGGGAAUCUUCCGCAAUGGGCGAAAGCCUGACGGAGCAACGCCGCGUGAGUGAUGAAGGUCUUCGGAUCGUAAAACUCUGUUAUUAGGGAAGAACAAAUGUGUAAGUAACUAUGCACGUCUUGACGGUACCUAAUCAGAAAGCCACGGCUAACUACGUG